AUGGGAUCUCCGACUGCCACUCACCACCACCGUCACCAUCACAUCACAAGAAACCCCCUGACAGCUAAUGACACUCGAGACCCUGACGGCGCCGAGAGGAAAGGACUACAAACUCUGACUCCAACUCUGUGCCAUCUGCUUCUGGAUUGUGAGUGCAGUGAGACUGCACACCAUCUGCUGCGUGUGGACGGCGCGUCUGUGUGUGUGCGUGAGUGUUUAUGCCGUGAUGAGACUGCCAAUGUGAUUAUUUUUGAUAUUUGAAUUGGCUGGAGGACAGUAUUUGAAUUCCCUGUGUACGUGUGCAUUUCUAUGUUGACUUUAAGAGAAGAGGUUCUGCUUCUAAAAAGUCUGUGAAGAAAGUUUCAAAUUGCACUGACAUUUUAUUCUUCCUCUUAAGAAAUUCUGAUCACCUGGGUUUUGUUGUUGCAUGCAAAGUGAGUUUUAGGAGAAAUUGUGUCUCUGAGGCUGAGGUGAACAUAAAAGACUAAACUGUGACAUCGCACCACCACACACUGCUGGUGCACUUGUUGGACACUAGCUUACCGCUAGAUCUUAUGCUUUUUCACUGUCUGUGUUUUCUUUUUGCAGAUGUUUUUGAGAAACAACUGGCGUAUUUGUACUUGAUUAGAUGUAAGACACAAAUAGAACUAUUGCUACACUUUUUGAUUUGAUUCUCUUUCUGCUUCCUGCUCCCAAUCCUGCAAAAUACAGGUUUGGGAGCAUUUCUAUUGUAUCUCGCUGGGGCUCACAAAGUGUUGACAGAUAACAACACACACACAGGAAGAGCGACUUGAUUCUCUGCUCAGGCAGGUGUUCCAACAUAUCUUUACUAACAGUUGUUUGCUGCUUUUUGAACUCUCUGGGCAUCAAAUUAGCACCGAAACUACCAAAGUUGAGACGUAUACCCACAUGAGUGCUCUAUAAUGUACUUUUAACAUGAGGAUCACAGGAUCAUAAUUUGUCAAUAACCCUAAUUUCUACUCCUACACACAGAAUUUGCUGCAGCGAUGUCGUUGGCUGCCUCACACACACUUUGAACUGAUUUACAUGCUGCAUUAAAAUGUGUCCAAUAACCAAAUAUUGGAACUAAGACAUUUACCCCCUCAGAUCGAGGCCUGUUGAGGCCUCAUUACGCACAGACUUGGGCGAGGCACAACAGAGGGGAGGACAAUGCACACGUCAGCCUCAAAUUGACUUACAUCUACACAGGCGCACGUAGAGGACGAGGAGAGAAAGCGUUGAAGCGGGGACAAUGAUUUCACGAAGGAGGACAGAGUACGUGCUGUAGGCACCCGGCGCGCUACAGUCGCAACUUUUUACUGCUCGGUUAGAAUAUCACAGGAGUGAUGGUGGUACCACGAGUUGGAAGGCUCAAUAAUAACAGGCCACACCUCGAGUUAAUAGCGUGGGAAACUAGCAUAUACAUAUGUAGUUACUAUCUUUAAAUGUUGGUCACUGAACAGGGCUAGCCAAAACAGCUAGCGUUAGCAUUGAAUUUGGACACAAUAUAAUACUAUAUAUAUAGUAGGGGGUCCCGACUCCAUAUCUGUCCAGUUCUAACUCGGUUUGGGGGCCUUGGCAUGAAACACUUGGACGUCUCCUGCCCUAAGACAUUCUCUGUGUAGUUUUAGACAAGGACAUGAGGAGAAGGGGACAUGGAUGAUUCACACAGGACCCUUUGUGUAUAACUGUAGUGAGCUGGAAAAAGCUCUUGAUUAGCUUCACCUGGAUCGACUACAAUAUUACGCAUCGCAGUAAGGGCAUUGUGCACGUCGACCUUAAAAUACAUUUAGCUGAGGUAACGAUAAUGCAAUACUUGUUUGAUGCAUGGUUGUACAUGCUAAAGUGAUCAUGCGUCCUAUUCUCACUCCUACCAUAGUAUUUUUUGCCGCAUUCCGUUUAUCCUUUAGGAGUCUUUACCAGCUGACAUUGGGCGGGAGACAGAAUAAUCCCUGGACUGCUCGCCAGUUAUUCACUCAGCUGACGG
ensembl:lncRNA